UACGUAGGGGGCUAGCGUUGUCCGGAAUCAUUGGGCGUAAAGAGCGUGUAGGCGGCCCGGUAAGUCCGCUGUGAAAGUCGGGGGCUCAACCCUGGAAUGCCGGUGGAUACUGUCGGGCUAGAGUCCGGAAGGGGCGAGUGGAAUUCCUGGUGUAGCGGUGAAAUGCGCAGAUAUCAGGAGGAACACCAAUGGCGAAGGCAGCUCGCUGGGACGUGACUGACGCUGAGACGCGAAAGCGUGGGGAGCAAACAGG
rnacentral:rRNA from 1 species